rnacentral:rRNA from 1 species
GAAGCAAAGCCGCGAGGUAGAGCAAAUCUCAAAAAAACAAUCUCAGUUCAGACUGCAGGCUGCAACUCGCCUGCACGAAGUCGGAAUUGCUAGUAAUCGUAGGUCAGCAUACUACGGUGAAUACGUUCCCGGGCCUUGUACACACCGCCCGUCAAACCAUGAGAGUUGGCAACACCCGAAGUCGGUAGUCUAACCACAAGGAGGACGCCGCCGAAGGUGGGGUUGAUGAUUAGGGUUAAGUCGUAACAAGGUAAC